CACCAAUCUCACAGUAAAAAAAAGUUGCUUCUUUCAAAUUUUGACACUGUUUUAGUUGCAACAGUUUCUCAUAUUUCCUUAUUUUUUAGUAUAAAUAUGGCGACUUACGAAAAUAAAAAGCCUGACGUAAUACGUACAAUUAACGAAAAUAUCAUGAAGUUUAAAUACCGCCAUGAUAUUUCAACAGACGCCCAAGUGCACGUCGGUUUGAACCCUUGGUAUUUACAAAUGCGCCAAGAAGUCCACAAUUUGCAUAGAAUUCACUUAAAGGCAAGGAGAGCAAAAAUGCGUGAACUUUUCAUCCAGGAUUUUUUACGGGAAAGACAGGAGCUUCAGGAGGUCGACUUUGACUACACCAACACUCAACCGUAACAAGAUUGUAAAAACAAAAUUUAUUACAAAUAAAUAUACAUGAACAAGA